CAGUCCAAACAGAUGGGAAGUUGGAGAUUUUAGGAAGCAGCCGGAGAAAGGAAAAUGUAUUGCCCUUUUUGUGGAUUCAGCUUGGAGUCACUAACUCCAUUUUGCAGUUCAUGUGGCAAGGAUAUCAAAUUCUUGACUCAUGAUAAGACUGGAACAUCUGAAGGUAGCACAGUAAAGUGUGCAGUGGAGUCAUUCCACAAGUUCCGCAGUUUAAAAGAGAAGGAGAGGCAGUCAUUCUUCAAAAAGAAAAAAAGACCUCUGAAAGAGAGCAGUGUGAAGAUUUCAGUUGCCCUGAUGCAACUGAAAGAUGGAGCACUAAAACCUGUAAGAGGAACAGCUCUACCACUCGUAGUGAAUCCAGAGCUGGAUGCUGAGCACUUGCAAAUAGCAGCUGUACAAAAAUUGAAGGACUUCAACAGCAAUUUGCAAGGCGGACCUUACUUCCUACUUUACCCUGAUGGUACAAGGAUAAUUAACA